rnacentral:rRNA from 1 species
GGGAGGCAGCAGUAGGGAAUAUUGGACAAUGGGUGCGAGCCUGAUCCAGCCAUGCCGCGUGCAGGAAGAAGGCGUUAUGCGUUGUAAACUGCUUUUGCCAGGGGAUAAAAUAACUGUGCGCAGUUGAUUGAAGGUACCUGGUGAAUAAGCCACGGCUAACUACGUGCCAGCAGCCGCGGUAAUACGUAGGUGGCAAGCGUUGUCCGGAUUUAUUGGGUUUAAAGGGUGCGUAGGCGGCCCUGUAAGUCAGUGGUGAAAUAUCUCAGCUUAACUGAGAGGGUGCCAUUGAUACUGCGGGGCUUGAGUACAGAUGAGGUAGGCGGAAUUGACGGUGUAGCGGUGAAAUGCAUAGAUAUCGUCAAGAACACCGAUAGCGAAGGCAGCUUACCAAGCUGUAACUGACGCUGAGGCACGAAAGUGUGGGGAUCAAACAGGAUUAGAUACCCUGGUAGUCCACACUGUAAACGUUGAUGACUCGAUGUUGGCGAUACACAGCCAGCGUCCAAGAGCAAUCGUUAAGUCAUCCACCUGGGGAGUACGCCGGCAACGGUGAAACUCAAAGGAAUUGACGGAAUCGUCGACCUGCAGGC